GACUUUAAGUGUGUAAAAUCUGCGAAAAAGAGAGAGAAAAAAAGGGAAAGUGAGAGUGAUGAAAAAGCUAAAAAAAAGUGCCGUGACAGUGGUUUCCAGCACGAAUCUCAUUAUUAUUGAAUUUAGUAAUUUGCCAUUAGACCGGAGAAUGCCGGAAUCGGGCGCGCAUGUGAGAAGAGGUGACAAGGGGGAUAUUAUCGGCAAUAGGAAGAUUACCCGUUUCGGAUGGAAAAUUCUCGUGCCGUAGCAAAAGGAAUUCGUCCCCUUGGUCCCUUUGGGGUAGACUGUUUAAGUGCAGACGAGUUUCAUUUAUUGAUUGGAUCGGAAUGUUUGUGGAAUCGAAGCUAGAACAAAAACAUUGGAGGAAUAAUUUAAGGUGAGCUGCAGAGUAUUGCAGGAUUUACUGUAUUGUGUGUACCGAGCGAAACUGGCGAUACGGUGACGUACAAAUCCCUCAAACUGCGUUCUGGAAAUCAAACAAACAAGAGUUGGGUUUUGAAACUCAAGAAAGCAAACCAUUGUUUCGGGGCUGCUGGAAAUGCCAUCGAUACCGGGUUUGGUGGAACUUCAAAAUCAAUAAACACACAAGCUUGCGGAAUUGUUCCUCCACAUUUCCCAACAGAGUGUGCCUCCCACGGCGACACUUCCCACACACACACACACACACACACACACUUUCACAAUCAACCUAUUGUGUUGUUGGAUUGCGAAGAUCUCGUAACUAAAUACUAAUCAAUAGCCCCGAAAUCGUCCCGGAAAGGGAAAUUCAUCAAGAACACGGAUCUCUCUCUAAGCGCUCGCGCCACAUUCCGUUUGUGGUGAAGAAAUUCUCGAAAAGAAAGCUGCGUUUGUAUUGUGAGGAUAAUUUAUCGCACCGUUGGAACGGCAGGAAAAUGCGUUGAAAAGCGAAAGCGAAAAAGGUAACCAGGCAUCAAAUAUCAAUUUCCCCGUGCCCUUCUGUGUGGUUGAGCAGCGGAUAUCAUCUUCCAAUCAAGCAAUUAGGCAGAACCAUUGAAAUCGUAUCGAAUUACGGGCAGAAUUUUUGGCACACACAGAGAGAGAAAGAGAGAGGAUUUGCUUCGCAGCGAUUGUCUGCCACUGCAGUACAAGAUCGAUCGAUGGCAAACGAUGGUCGUAGGAAAUUCUAUCGCACUGCCUCAACGCCAAGGUUCUAGGGACAGUUUUUUUUCCGGUACGCCUUUUCUCCUCGCAUGACGAUGCGAGAUUUUGACGCUUUUUAACUCUUUGCCGAGUUCAAGAAGUUUGGCAUUGUUCGGCUGCACAUCGCAUGCUGUACAGGCUCGUGUUCUCGCAGGGGGAAAAGGAAGAAGGUAUCAAAAUACCGCUGCAUUUCAAUUAAAAACUAUCCUUUCUAGCCAACCCCUUUGGCUGGCACACUGUCAAAGCAAACACACCCAUACGCAAGCCUGUGGGAGAAUUUGGGAACAGGAGGAGUGCAGGAAAUAAGCAAUUUCUUGUUAAGAUGCGAGCUGGUCCUCCCCGUAAAGCUGCAAGAAAUGCAACGCAGUGUAAAGCAGCAGCAGCAGCAGCAGACAGCAAAAAAGCAUACAUUUAAUACAGCUCGGUGAAAGCGGUGAGUAGAGUGAGCACUACAAAUUGGGUUGCAUAAUUAAACAUUGCAAGCAUUUUAAAUAAAUGCAUUGCCACACAAA